GGUUAAGCGACUAAGCGUACACGGUGGAUGCCCUGGCAGUCAGAGGCGAUGAAGGACGUGCUAAUCUGCGAUAAGCGUCGGUAAGGUGAUAUGAACCGUUAUAACCGGCGAUUUCCGAAUGGGGAAACCCAGUGUGAUUCGUCACACUAUCAUUAACUGAAUCCAUAGGUUAAUGAGGCGAACCGGGGGAACUGAAACAUCUAAGUACCCCGAGGAAAAGAAAUCAACCGAGAUUCCCCCAGUAGCGGCGAGCGAACGGGGAGGAGCCCAGAGCCUGAAUCAGUGUGUGUGUUAGUGGAAGCGUCUGGAAAGGCGCGCGAUACAGGGUGACAGCCCCGUACACAAAAAUACACAUAUUGUGAGCUCGAUGAGUAGGGCGGGACACGUGGUAUCCUGUCUGAAUAUGGGGGGACCAUCCUCCAAGGCUAAAUACUCCUGACUGACCGAUAGUGAACCAGUACCGUGAGGGAAAGGCGAAAAGAACCCCGGCGAGGGGAGUGAAAAAGAACCUGAAACCGUGUACGUACAAGCAGUGGGAGCACGCUUAGGCGUGUGACUGCGUACCUUUUGUAUAAUGGGUCAGCGACUUAUAUUCUGUAGCAAGGUUAACCGAAUAGGGGAGCCGAAGGGAAACCGAGUCUUAACUGGGCGUUAAGUUGCAGGGUAUAGACCCGAAACCCGGUGAUCUAGCCAUGGGCAGGUUGAAGGUUGGGUAACACUAACUGGAGGACCGAACCGACUAAUGUUGAAAAAUUAGCGGAUGACUUGUGGCUGGGGGUGAAAGGCCAAUCAAACCGGGAGAUAGCUGGUUCUCCCCGAAAGCUAUUUAGGUAGCGCCUCGUGAAUUCAUCUCCGGGGGUAGAGCACUGUUUCGGCAAGGGGGUCAUCCCGACUUACCAACCCGAUGCAAACUGCGAAUACCGGAGAAUGUUAUCACGGGAGACACACGGCGGGUGCUAACGUCCGUCGUGAAGAGGGAAACAACCCAGACCGCCAGCUAAGGUCCCAAAGUCAUGGUUAAGUGGGAAACGAUGUGGGAAGGCCCAGACAGCCAGGAUGUUGGCUUAGAAGCAGCCAUCAUUUAAAGAAAGCGUAAUAGCUCACUGGUCGAGUCGGCCUGCGCGGAAGAUGUAACGGGGCUAAACCAUGCACCGAAGCUGCGGCAGCGACGCUUAUGCGUUGUUGGGUAGGGGAGCGUUCUGUAAGCCUGUGAAGGUGUGCUGUGAGGCAUGCUGGAGGUAUCAGAAGUGCGAAUGCUGACAUAAGUAACGAUAAAGCGGGUGAAAAGCCCGCUCGCCGGAAGACCAAGGGUUCCUGUCCAACGUUAAUCGGGGCAGGGUGAGUCGACCCCUAAGGCGAGGCCGAAAGGCGUAGUCGAUGGGAAACAGGUUAAUAUUCCUGUACUUGGUGUUACUGCGAAGGGGGGACGGAGAAGGCUAUGUUGGCCGGGCGACGGUUGUCCCGGUUUAAGCGUGUAGGCUGGUUUUCCAGGCAAAUCCGGAAAAUCAAGGCUGAGGCGUGAUGACGAGGCACUACGGUGCUGAAGCAACAAAUGCCCUGCUUCCAGGAAAAGCCUCUAAGCAUCAGGUAACAUCAAAUCGUACCCCAAACCGACACAGGUGGUCAGGUAGAGAAUACCAAGGCGCUUGAGAGAACUCGGGUGAAGGAACUAGGCAAAAUGGUGCCGUAACUUCGGGAGAAGGCACGCUGAUACGUAGGUGAAGUCCCUCGCGGAUGGAGCUGAAAUCAGUCGAAGAUACCAGCUGGCUGCAACUGUUUAUUAAAAACACAGCACUGUGCAAACACGAAAGUGGACGUAUACGGUGUGACGCCUGCCCGGUGCCGGAAGGUUAAUUGAUGGGGUCAGCGCAAGCGAAGCUCUUGAUCGAAGCCCCGGUAAACGGCGGCCGUAACUAUAACGGUCCUAAGGUAGCGAAAUUCCUUGUCGGGUAAGUUCCGACCUGCACGAAUGGCGUAAUGAUGGCCAGGCUGUCUCCACCCGAGACUCAGUGAAAUUGAACUCGCUGUGAAGAUGCAGUGUACCCGCGGCAAGACGGAAAGACCCCGUGAACCUUUACUAUAGCUUGACACUGAACAUUGAGCCUUGAUGUGUAGGAUAGGUGGGAGGCUUUGAAGUGUGGACGCCAGUCUGCAUGGAGCCGACCUUGAAAUACCACCCUUUAAUGUUUGAUGUUCUAACGUUGACCCGUGAUCCGGGUUGCGGACAGUGUCUGGUGGGUAGUUUGACUGGGGCGGUCUCCUCCUAAAGAGUAACGGAGGAGCACGAAGGUUGGCUAAUCCUGGUCGGACAUCAGGAGGUUAGUGCAAUGGCAUAAGCCAGCUUGACUGCGAGCGUGACGGCGCGAGCAGGUGCGAAAGCAGGUCAUAGUGAUCCGGUGGUUCUGAAUGGAAGGGCCAUCGCUCAACGGAUAAAAGGUACUCCGGGGAUAACAGGCUGAUACCGCCCAAGAGUUCAUAUCGACGGCGGUGUUUGGCACCUCGAUGUCGGCUCAUCACAUCCUGGGGCUGAAGUAGGUCCCAAGGGUAUGGCUGUUCGCCAUUUAAAGUGGUACGCGAGCUGGGUUUAGAACGUCGUGAGACAGUUCGGUCCCUAUCUGCCGUGGGCGCUGGAGAACUGAGGGGGGCUGCUCCUAGUACGAGAGGACCGGAGUGGACGCAUCACUGGUGUUCGGGUUGUCAUGCCAAUGGCACUGCCCGGUAGCUAAAUGCGGAAGAGAUAAGUGCUGAAAGCAUCUAAGCACGAAACUUGCCCCGAGAUGAGUUCUCCCUGACUCCUUGAGAGUCCUGAAGGAACGUUGAAGACGACGACGUUGAUAGGCCGGGUGUGUAAGCGCAGCGAUGCGUUGAGCUAACCGGUACUAAUGAACCGUGAGGCUUAACCUU
rnacentral:rRNA from 1 species